GCAAGUCGAACGGACUCUUCGGAGUUAGUGGCGGACGGGUGAGUAACGCGUGAGAAUCUGCCUUCAGGUCUGGGACAACAGAAGGAAACUUCUGCUAAUCCCGGAUGAGCCUUAGGGUAAAAGAUAAAUUGCCUGGAGAUGAGCUCGCGUCUGAUUAGCUAGUUGGUGUGGUAAAAGCAUACCAAGGCAACGAUCAGUAGCUGGUCUGAGAGGAUGAGCAGCCACACUGGGACUGAGACACGGCCCAGACUCCUACGGGAGGCAGCAGUGGGGAAUUUUCCGCAAUGGGCGAAAGCCUGACGGAGCAAGACCGCGUGGGGGAGGAAGGCUCUAGGGUUGUAAACCCCUUUUCUUUGGGAAGAAGAUCUGACGGUACCAAAGGAAUCAGCCUCGGCUAACUCCGUGCCAGCAGCCGCGGUAAUACGGAGGAGGCAAGCGUUAUCCGGAAUGAUUGGGCGUAAAGCGUCCGUAGAUGGCCAUGUAAGUCUGCUGUCAAAACCCAGGGCUCAACUCUGGUCAGGCAGUGGAAACUACAAAGCUAGAGUUUGGUAGGGGCAAAGGGAAUUCCCGGUGUGGCGGUGAAAUGCGUAGAUAUCGGGAAGAACAUCGGUGGCGAAAGCGCUUUGCUAGACCAAAACUGACAUUGAGGGACGAAAGCUAGGGGAGCGAAUGGGAUUAGAUACCCCAGUAGUCCUAGCCGUAAACGAUGGAUACU
rnacentral:rRNA from 1 species